UGGGGAAUAGCUCAGGGGGAGAGUGUGUGCUUAGCAUGCAUGAAGUCCUGGGUUCAAUCCCCAGUACCUCCU
rnacentral:tRNA from 1 species